UACGGGGGGAGCAAGCGUUGUUCGGAUUUACUGGGCGUAAAGGGCGCGUAGGCGGCCUUCUAAGUCGAACGUGAAAUCCCUGGGCUCAACCCAGGAACUACGUCCGAUACUGGAAGGCUUGAAUCCGGGAGAGGGAUGCGGAAUUCCAGGUGUAGCGGUGAAAUGCGUAGAUAUCGUGGAGGAACACCGGUGGCGAAGGCGGCAUCCUGGACCGGUACUGACGCUGAGGUGCGAAAGCGUGGGGAGCAAACAGG
rnacentral:rRNA from 1 species